UAUAUAAAAUUAAAAAUUAUGUAAUUUAUAAACAUGAAAUAGAUAUGGAUGUUAGGUAAUACCGGAUGUUAAAUUAAUAUAUAAAUAUUUAACUUAAUACGUACAUUAUUAUUUUAUUAAUUUAUCGUCACACGUCAUUUACCAGUUGCCUAAUUACGAAAAGUUUCAUAUGAUAUUAACCUCAAAAAUGAUCUUUGAAAACAAACAACAACAAAUAACUCAAAGAAAUAACUACAUACUACAUAAUAAUAACUGAUAAUAAUGACUUUUAAUGGUAUAAAGGCUGAUGAAGUUUUAGACAACCAAUACAAGAUUCAGAACUCGGCAUCGCGAUAAACAAGUAAAAUUGUACAUUCAGGAACUCGUUUAAAUAUUAUAGGUUGAUUGAAGAAUAAUCUACAAUUGAUUAGAGCCUAUGACGAUGCGAAGAUAAUUAAUCACCUAACUUUAAGAAACCAGCCUAAAGAAGUUUACAUGCAUCUCAUCUAACCAUUAUAGAUCAGUAGUGAUUUUUCAUAAUUUGAAUGAACUCACAGAUAGCAAUGGGGCACCGCACUGAAGCAGUAUUACAAAAUGUGAAAUAAAACUG